GCCCGCGGCGGCGGCAGCGGGCGGCUGCGGUCGCUGUGCGCCGAGGCAGCGGCGUCUCAUUGCCAGCCUACUUUUGGGUCACAACACAUGGGCUGAGAAAUACGGCUGUGAACAGUGCUGGAUAAAUACACAGUUUGGCAGAGAUGCCAAAGAACAAGGGUGAAGAAAGGGAGAGCGAGUAACCAUCAGAAAGUCUUACCCGACUCUGAAGACUCAAAGACCACAUCUGUUGCCACCGUGAUGCAGGCUUCCCACAUGAGGCUGCUGGUACCAUCAUAUGGGCAAUCCCUCUAAAUCAGCACCUGAAGCUGGUGUCCCACUUGCAAACCCUUCUGCUCCAUGGUAUGUACUCCUUUGAAGUUAAAUUAUGGAAACAAGGAGGGAAAGGUAGAGGGUAAGCUCAUUGCAGAAGACAACAUAGGUAGGACAGGUAGGAUGGAAAAAAGAUACUCCCCAAAACAGUCCUGUUUGACAAAGGCAUAUGGUACUUUCCUGACUCACUUCAAAAACCCUACCAAGACCCUAUAAAAUAUGCCUUUCCUCAGGGCAGCUACAGUCCAUGUGCUGACCAGGAGCAACAGAGGUCUGUCUUUGCCUAUAAACAGUAAGAACAAGUUUGAUUUGGUCCUGGUUUCAGUUUCUUUCUCUGGACUGGAAUGUGGAAGAGGAUCAGACUUUAGAAUCAUACUCAUUUACUUGUUUGAGGCCACCCCCCCAUGGAUUUACCAGGCAAAGAGAGGUGAGAGGAUAUGCAGUUAAGGGGUGCUUCCAGAUGAACUACCAGUGUAGAUGCCAAGACCAGGAACAAAACAGAAAAUUAAGUGACCCAUUUCCUCCCUCACUCUCUAGUUGCUGUAGAGUUCUUAUGUGCCCAGAAAAAGAGCGCAACUGGCAAGGAGGAGGAUAGAACCAGGAGUCCCAGCUGUACAAGGGCACUGGUGGUGCCCUUGUCUCCUGGCUCUGUGCUUCGUGGCAUGUUGUAGGGUGUCUCUCAUAGGGUUGUUUGUGGGUGUUGGACCCUUCUCUGGACAGUUGCAUACCCCUGUUCCCUCUUCUCUCCACCACUUACAGUGCUUUCCUUCUUAUUGCUUACUCCAGAGAGGAGUAAACAAGUAGCCUCUGCUCAUCCCAUCCCCAAUAGGGUCAAAAUCUGAGCUUCAGGUCUGAUAGGUCCUUGGUCCUUUUACCCCAUCACAGCCCUUAUUGAGUUUCCAGUACAGCCCAAGUGGGACAAUAAGAUCUGCAAGGACAGAAUCCCCAAAAGAUUCCUUUGCCAAACACCAGCACCAAUGACUGUGCCUCUUUCUCUCCAGUUACCAGCAUCCAGCAAGAGAAAGUAUAGCAAUAGAAGGCACAGUUUCCUUUGCAAAGGAAUGGCAGAUACAUGUUUGGCUGCCAGCAAGCCUUUCUAGAAUGGAGCACCUACAUGAUCAUCACCACUGGCCCAAGGCAAGGGAUAGACAUGACACUUUUACCAGUAUAAGUGAUUGGAAACCAAUUUAUGCCCAGAACAGAACAGUCAUUCAGGAUACAUAGACCGGUUUAAAAAUGGUAGAACCCAGUCUAAGAUUUGUACCCUCUCCCCUACAUCAAUGGGCAAAUGUAUGUUCUGUCCACUACUGAUCUAAACUAUGCUGCUUACAAAAAACCUUGCAACUUAGGUGGAUUCUGCCUUGGGCUUUUUGAAUGUCUGUACCUAACCAUUUAAGUGAGGGCAGGGGAUGGAAACACAGAGAAGAACUGGCAACAUGGUAGGACGAAAAAAAGAACUUGGCUAAAAAAACAGUACCAAGCAACAUUUUGAAUUACAUGCUGAAGCUUUGAGUAGUCAACUGCUUCUGUCACAGCAAGGAACCAAAUUGUACACACAAAGAUCAGCCUACAUCUUCACCUCUGGCAAUUCUCUCUCAUUCCUACUUGCUACAGUUGUUCAAGAUGCUUUACUUCCCCACAAAGAGGAAGUGGAACCCACAUUAGUCCCCAACCAAGGAGCUGACUCUGGAGUUAAAAGCAGGGGGAAAAAAUAUCACAAAACUAACUAGGAUCCAUCCCCCUUGCUAUUCUAUGGACUCAGGGCCUUGAUUACUCCAGGCUCUUUAGACCAAUGGCUCUUAACAUUGUAAGGCUCAAGGCACUCCUCAAUAACUUUUCAGAAUGUAGUUGCACCCCAUUUAAACACAGAUUUCUUACAGUGUUUACUUUCUCGUACCCCAAGGCACGCUUAAAAGAAUCUGAUGGGGUGGUAGGGCAUCCUCAAGAGCAUGGCACAGGUGCUGCACUGUGCUCCAAGUGACAGGCUGCUUGGCAGGGCAGACUGGGGAGCUUCAAGGUGGCUCAUUAGACUCCUGAAGGGAGCAGCUGUCCCUGCAGGGAGUAGAAAGGAAUGACAGUGGCUGAAGCUAGUGUCAGAUGAAGGCAGCAGGAGACUACCAUGCUUUGUCCUUUCCAUGGUUUGCCCCCACUCUGUACCUGAGGAAUGAAUGCAGCCCCGGAAAGCCGGGUCAUUCCCCAUGGCCCCUCCCAUGGGCUCUGGGAGCAUGGCAGAAACUGAGGGAGGAGCCAGGUUGACAAAGCAUGGUCCUAUGUCUACCCACCUAUGCCAGAGCAGCAGGGCAGUUGGUGUAGGGUCUACACUUUUCUGGUAGGGAAAGCUAGUAGGAAGGGCUGCAGGAAGCACUUCUGGGAAAGACAUGGGGUUCCUCACAUGUUCUUGUUUCAUUUAGACUUGCUCUGAGCAGAAAUAGAUGGUGUAGACAGUGCUGGCAUUUUACUACCAGCAUUGCUACUACUUGGGCCACCAUCAUAGUAGGAGAGACAGACAGAGAGAAUCCCUGCCCCAAAGAUCUUACAAUACCACUCACCAUGGGGGCUCUGGGACUCAGGUAGUGCCUGUAGCAGCUCACACGUUCUCCCUGCUCCAGAUGUGGCACUACCUGUGUUGAUUACUCCUCUCUACCCAGCCCUUCUCCACAUGUGUCCCUGCUCAUCUCACCUGAACUAAUUCAGUGUGCAUGUCUCUUAGGAGAAGGAGUGUCUAGUUGAUAGGACCUCCUGGUAUACCACAUUGUAGUUGGGACUUCCACUUGGUAAGUGCUCAGGUUCUUCUUCCCCUAGGCCAGCACCAAAGACAAUCUUCCUUGCAGCCUCUGAGGCCUCCCUCCAUUUUCCCCACUCAUUUUUCCUGGAUCUGGGUCCAAGCCCCCCUGAGUCCUUUGCCACUGGGGCCCUUCCUUUAUACAACUCUCAGGGGCGUGGCCUCCAGCCUGCCUGGUUCUCCUUAAAGAGUCAUGUCCCUUUUUCCCUGGAAUGGGACUAGAAGGGGCCCUGUUAUAGUGCCAUGAAGAUAAAGCAACAGAGAGAUAUCAGCCAGAGUCUCCAACCAGUAGGAGAAACUAUAGAGCUUGGCCAAAGCAGGGACCUCUUAGCAUUCAGACAGCUCUCUAUGGUUUCAAUGGGACAAUCUCUGCUUUGUGACAAUUGACUGUUUGCCCCAACCCUUUCUUUCUUCAUACUUUCAUCUUAGCAUGGCUUAAAGCAACCAACAUUUUAAUUAUGGACUCCAUAACACAGUCUCAGACACUCCUCAGAGCUCCAGAAUCAGAAGUAGCCUACACCACUUCCAGUUAGUGUAAUGGUGCUAGUGUAGUCCUGCCAAGGAGCCAAUUGGCAUCUGGAGGCAGGUAACCCAUGACUACCGCCCAAACUGGAAACAGGAUAGCCACAUACCUGUGAUAUCAGGAAGCCUGCUUUGUAGCUGCUGAAAGAAGUUAAUGAAACAUUACCUGGUGCAGUGGGAAUAGGCAGUGGAGUCAGCUAAUUUUCAGGACAAAAAUCCCAUUUCAAGGACUCCUUAGGAACACUGAUCCACAGGUUCAAAAUUCAGGACCAUCCUAUAAAAUUUGGGACAGUUGGUUGCUUUAACUUCAUUGCACACUUACCCCUUUUCUCCUCCAUUACCCUGUCCCCCUCACCCAUGUUUCUUUCCAUUUAUCUGAUUCCCUUCAUCCACCACCCCAUAUAAAUCCACCCACCCUCUUCCCCACCAAAUACCUUGCAGAACUAGCAUGCUACUUCCUGCAUGAUAAUGUUCACCAUCUGCGUGUGAUCUUCCUUUUCGCCAACCCUGUGUCUGUCUUGCCUAAUUUAAUUGUAAGUAAGCUCUUUGGGACUGCCUACUUUGACUGUAUGCACAGUGCUGACUACAAUGGGACCCUAUUCCUGCUGGCCCUUAUACACUUCUGUAAUAAACACCAGUCAUUCAAAUAGGCAAGAUAAGCCCUUAUUAUGUAAAUUGCUAUCUUAAAACAAAUAGCCUUGCAUAUCCUUAAAAUAUACCUAACACUUUAGGCAUUUAACACAGACCAACAGGGGGACUUUGAAGAGUCUUUGGUUAAUUUCCUUCUCCUCAGAUGGUAGGCUGAUAAUGGAGCCAUGCAAAUUCUUGUCACAAAUUCCAGAAACAUCCAGAAAGGAAAUUAUCAUUAUCCCUAUUUUACAGACAUGAAACUGAGGAACAGAUAUGAAAUAAUUUAUCUGGCCAAAGUCAAACUGGAACUUUGGGGAAGACCCAAAAACCCACCUCCCCGGCAUCUUAGUUCAGUGACUUAAUUAUGGGACUAUUCAGUCAGUUUUAGGGAUGCAUUAUUGACACAUGUUUCCUCUACAGUUUUGCAGUGUUUAGUUCUGACCUCCCUCCAUGUGUAUACCCCAAAUAAAGGGAAAAAUAAAGUUGGCCAGAAAGGCAAGAAACAAAACCAUAUACAAGUGUAAUGCAUAAAGCUAAGGGAUGUGUCAUAAAGAAGCUUUCUGCACACAACUGCUUAGUUAUUCUAUGUCCACUGGUAUAAAAGCAUGUAAGUGAAAAUAAGACAGCUCAUAUGGCAGGGUGAAAUAGUCAAGCUCAACUUAACCUAUGAAGAGCAGUUGCUACUAUGUAGGGGCAAAGAUCGGUUUGCCCUAGUUUCUCUCUAAGGUGAUUAAUUUACAACAGGUGUAAAAGUUCUGGAGGCAAUGCUGAAAUGGAUCACAUUUACCUACACGACUGUUUAAUCUCCCGUAUGUUGCAUUUUACAGAACCACCUCUGCAAGCUAUGAGAAACAGAUGCUUAAACCAGGGGUUUCUUCCUUGCAGCUCAUCUUUCUUCUGCUUACUCUUGCGAUAAAGGCAGUAGCCAGACACUGUUGAAGUGGAUAAAGUUGUCCCCUUUGGAGGAUUAAAAGAACUUUCCACCAUAUUGUCAGGCAGAAGGGGAAGUCAAGUUGGAAGGAAAAGGCUAUACUGAAAAGCAGAAUGAAACCAUCAACAGAUGGUUGGGGUUUGUUUGUUUGUAACCCCACAUUUCGAGUUGGCUCCAGUUCUAAAGUCCCUUUUCAAUUGAAAGUCUUCUGCUUUAUAUUAAAAACUUUUGUCAAAGCAAACAUUAUGAUUUCUGCCAUUGCAUAGCAGUCAGGCUAUGCAGAACAAAUACUGCUGUAGCUAAUGGGUAUCACUCACAUUUACAAAGUCUAGAAUCUAUAUUAAGUUUUUGGGGGUGAAGACUAUUCAUAAAAACGUGUUGAUUACAUUGCAGGCAGAUAAGUGGCCUAUUUAAAUUAUGCCCAGACAGAUAUAUGAACAUUGGAAUUCAUACUUAGCCAUCUCCUGUUAUAGUUCUAUCCCCCCUCUGAUUAUAGUGUGAUAAAUUAGAAAACUUUCCUAGCUCAGUCAGUUCUUCCAACGCAGUCCAACAGAGCACAAGCCCAUCUAAUCGGGAGCUGCAGUCCUUCACCAUCUGUUUAGAACCUAAUUACAAAUGCAAGCAAAUAAUGUGCUUUACAAUUGCACCAGUAAAUGCUGUAAAUGAUUUAAAUGCAUGCAUAUGCUCCCUGCAGAAUUCAACAUGAAUCUGUGGCUUCAUCUCUUAACAUUAAACACACAAAUCAAAGGAAAAAAGUACGCACAUCUGACUACAGAAUGCCCUUGUGAUGGCGAUUUUUAUAUCUUUUUCUUUUUUUUGGAUGGUAAGCAGGGUUUUUUUGUAACUACUAAUUUGACUGCAUUUUCUUUGGUUCCUUUUCAAAAACCGUUUAUCACCGUCGUGCAAGUAUAGUACAAAUUACUCCAUAAAACAUGCAGAAGGAAAGCAGAAGCAGCGAGUCAGAGGGUGACCCUGCAGAUGGCGGCCUACCAUUUCAAAGUGGAAUUUGUCUAUAGGCGAAACCCUAGAAGAAGAAAUGAUCCUCUCUAGAGGAGUGCAGUCAGAUCAUCUGCCAUGGAAUUCUGCCAUCACUACUGGCCUGAUACAAAGGCUACCAAGACUUCCUAUUGACUUCAGUGAGCUUCAAUUUAGGCUCUGGGACCACACAAAUUUCAGAACUUGAGCUCAGUUUCCAGGCCUUGCUCCGCUAUUAGCUCAUUUUAAAAAUCAACAGCAUUCUAAAACAUUGUUUUAGGUGCAGUGUGUAUCUGCCUGUGAGAUGCAGGCUGCUAACUUGAGGUAUGCUGUAGUGGGGUGGGGUGAAACUGCCAAGCCAGCACAGCUUAAAAGCGUGGAAAAAUAGGGGCAAUAUUUAAUAAAAUAAUUUCAACUGACUAGAGCUGUCCCAGGCCUCAGGAGCAUGCAUUGUCCUUGACUGUAGAGGUCAAUGCAGCAGGGUCUCUAAAUGCAGCUAGUGAUGUGCUGCUCAAGGGAGGUCAGAGAGCAAUGACUUGAGAGACCUGUCUGUAAUAGGGAAAUCUCUUAACAUUCAGCUGGAAUCAGUGCAGUGAUGAAAAGCACCAAGUCUCCCAGGGCUCCCUCCUAUGAAUCAAGCUGACACAAAAGCAGCAAUUAGGAGUGAGGUCACAGUGGCUGGCCUGGGGACAGCCAUAGGGAGAAAUAUGCAUAGAGCUCAUAAGGAAACGUGAAUUUCACAAUUGGAUUGUAUGGGCAGGCAGUUUAUUUACUUGAUGCAUGUGAAAUCAAACUGGCACAGGGACAUGAUUCAGAACCUUAACAGAGAACCUAGGCUAAGUGCACAGCUGGAAAAGACAAUGAAAAACCAUAUUAACCUCACAUGGAUUUCAGAGAUGGCUCAUCAAACAGUGGGAAAGAUUUUCCAUGGAAAAAAAAAAUUUAAGUUUUGGAAAUUGGACAGGCCUUGACCUGUUCUGUUGUGACAAGAAUUUACAUGACUCCAUUAUCAGCCUACCAUAAGAGAAGGAAAUUAACUCAGGAUACUUCAAAGUCCCACUGUUGGUUUUUGUUAAAUGCCUAAAUCAUUAGGCGUAUUUUAGGGACAUGCAAGACUAUUUGCUUUACAAUAGCAAUUGCAAUAACUAUACUGUUUAUUAGGACUGCAGUAUAGCCAGUGGAUUGGGCUUAGGAGACCUGAUUUUUAUUUCCACUUCCGCCAGUUGCCUUGUGCAUGUCUUUGGACUGAAUUAUUUCCUUUUCUUUUAUCUCAGUUUCCCUAUCUAAAAAGUGGGGAAUGUAUGCACAUGAUGUAAAUUCUUAGAAGAUUUGCAUGGAUUCACCCUCACUUAUCUUAAUCCAAAGGCAAAAUGACUUGAGACAUUUGGAGUAAGGUUGGACAUUGUGGAUAGCCUGAGAUACCUAUUGUGCUUGUGUCAGUCCACACUGCUGUGCCACAUUAUUUGAAGAAAAGGGGCACAUCUGCCAGGUUUAGUCUGUUGCCUCCAGCAUCCAGGGUAGACUCAGGCCCUGAAAAAAAGAUGAGCAUAUCUCCUUUACCUUAAGUUUGAACCAGGGGGGACCCUCAGCCUGUAAACCAAUACCCGAGACUAGGGUAUGGCUGCCCCCAUGGAAAAGCAACUACCUGGAACCAUCAGUGAGGGUUGACAUAGACAGUGAGGCCCUGUGCCAAAGAGUACAUCCAUCCCAUGACAUUGACUUCUACCCAAGACUCUUCAGGGGUACAUGUUACAGCCCAAAGAGUGGGGUAAUGAUACUGACCUCUUCUGAAAACACUUUGAGCUUGAAGAAUGCUACAUCAGAGGUAGGUUGAAGUAGAUUUCCCCUUGUACUUCUGGAUUCCAAGAUUUACUAGUGUCAAAGGUGGGAUGCACAUUUCACGUGCUUUCUUCUCUUGAAGCUCAUAGAGUGCAGGGAGAAUUUGUAAUUCAUCAGUUUUAAAGCAGGGUUGACUAACAGCUGAGUGCCAUAGUAAACAUCUAGUAUGUUUUAAUAAAAAUGCAAAAAAUUACCUUCUAAAAGUUUUUUUUUUAAUUGUUGUAAUUGAUUUCACUAGAUCAUCUAAAGCUGAGGUCAUAACAUGUGGCCCACAGGCUGGAUCCAGGCCACAGAGCUACUGGAUCUGGCUUGCAGAGAUGGAGGACUUUGUCUACGCCCAUGCCCGCACCUGGGGCUAAAUAGCAAAGAGCUGAGACAGAACAGGACAAAUUCCAGCUCCACCCGUUCUGCUGCUGCUUCUCUUUUCACCCCUGCCUACCCUCCACAAGGCUGCAGUGUGGACAAAGCUUAAUCUAGCUGGUGAGGGGCUGUGCUGGAGCUGGGCAUUUUCCAGCUGUGGCCAUGCCUCAGAUGGAAGACCAGGGGUAGGAGAGAGGGGACUGGGGGAAUGGGUGGUGGUGCAAGCACAGCUCCCAGCUGCCUGGCUCUGUUGUGAGGAAAGGGAAAGCCAUCCACUGCCAAAGUCACCAGCCUAUGUUGGACUGGAACCGGGUUGUUCCAGUCUUCACUUUGAAAAGAUUGCCAGCCACCAAUCUAAAGAAUGACUUUGUCUAGCACUACAGAGAACACUAUUUAUCAGAUCAUUCUGGUAUCACAGAUUCAUAGAAGUAGGGUCGGAAGGGACCCUGUAGAUCAUCAAGUCCAACCCCCUGCCCUGGGCAGGAGAGAAAACUGGGCUUAAAUGACCCCAGCCAGGUAGACGUCAAGCCUCCUCUUAAAGACCCCUAGGGUAGGAGCCAUCACCACUUCCCUUUGAAGUUGGCGCCAGAUCCUAGCCACCCUGACUGUGAAGUAGUGCCUUCGGAUGUCUAGUCUAAACCUACUCUCCAACAACUUGUGGCCGUUAUUCCUUGUUACCCCAGGGGAUGCUAGGGGGAACAGGGUCUCCCCCAAACCCUGCUGGUCCCCCCUGGUGAGUUUAUAGACCGCCACCAGGUCCCCCCUCAGCCUUCUCUUGUGAAGGCUGAACAGGUUCAGGUCCCAUAGCCUCUCUUCAUAGGGUCUGCCCUGCUGUCCCCAGAUCAUGCGGGUGGCCCUCCUCUGAACCCUCUCGAUGCUGUCCACAUCCCUCCUGAAGUGUGGCGCCCAGAACUGGACGCAGUACUCCAGCUGUGGCCUAACCAGUGUCACAUAGAGGGGGAGGAUCACCUCCUUGGCCCUGCUUGAGAUGCAUCUUUGGAUGCAUGACAAGGUAUGGUUAGCCCUACUGACCGUGACCUCACAUUGUUGGCCCAUGUUCAUCUUGGAGUCAGUAAUGACUCCACGAUUUCUUUCUGCCACUGUGCUCUCAAGAAGGGAGUUUUCCAGCUUGUAAGUGUGCUGCUGGUUCCUACUGCCCAAGUGCAGCACCCUGCACUUGUCAGUAUUGAAACCCAUCCAUUUUCAUUAGCCCAACCCUGUAACCUGCCUAGGACUUGCUGUAAUCUGUCCUUCCCUACUAGCAUGCCCACCUCACCCUAAAUCUUGGUAUCAUCAGCAAAUUUAAACAGGCUGCUUUUUACCGCAUCGUCCAAGUCACUAAUAAAGAAAUAGAACAGUGUGGGCUCAAGGACUGAGCCCAGGGGGACUCCGCUGCCCACUUCCCUCCAGGUCAAAAAAGACCCAUCCACCACUACCCUCUGAGUACGACCCAUCAGCCAAUUUGCAAUCCAUCUGACUGUAUAGGCAUCAAUGCCACAGUCACCUAGUUUUUUGAUGAGAAUGGGGUGGGAGACAGUGUCAAAGGCCUUGCUGAAGUCCAGAAAGACUACAUCCACCCCGACACCUGUGUCCAAUGCUUUUGUGACCUGAUCGUAGAAGGCAAUCAGGUUGGUUUGACAUGACCUGCCCCUAAUGAAACCGUGCUGGUUGCCCUUGAGCAUCAUUCCUGCUGCUGGCCCAUCACAGAUGUGCUGCUUGAUGAUCUUCUCAAAGAGUUUCCCCAGGAUUGAAGUAAGACUAAUGGGCCUAGAGUUGCUCAGGUCCUCCCUCUUCCCUUUUUUGAAGAUGGGGACCAUGUUGUCUUUCUUCCAGUUAUCUGGCACGUGGCCAGAGCACCAUGAGUGCUGGUAAAGCUGUGCCAGGGGCCCCACAAUAACCCCCUCCAAUUCCCUCAACACCCCAGGGUGGAGAGUAUCUGAACCUGCUGAUUUGAACACGUCCAGCCCCUCCAGAAGCUCUCUAACCCGGUCCUCCCUGACCUUAGCCCUGGCAGCGUUUCUCCCGAGUCCAUCUGGAUUCUUGGACUUGGAGUCCCGGUCCCUGCACAAGAAAAUGGAGGCAAAGAAUUUGUUAAAGAGGUCUGCUUUCUCCUCUGGUACAACCACCAGAUUGUCAAACAUAUCCUGCAGGGGCCCCACAUUACCCGGUGCCUUCUUCAUUCUCCCUAUAUAUUUUAAAAAGGACUUUUUAUUAUCUUUGAUCCUUGACGCUAGCCCUAGCUCCAUAUCUGCCUUAGCUUUUCUAACAGCCCCCCCUACAGACCCAAGCAGUGGAGAUAUACUCCUCUUUGGUGAUAGCCCUUCCCUUCUACCAGGUGUACACCUCCUUUUUCGCAAUCAGGCAUUCACAAAUGCCCUUGGUGAGCCAGGGGGGCUUUUGGGCACUCUUGCCCCCCUUGCUUCUUGGGAUUGUCACCCCUUGUACUCUGAGUAUCAUCUCCUUAAGGAAUGACCACUCAUCUUGGGCACUGAGUUCCCCUACUCUCGAGGACCCCAGUGCCUCUCCCACUAAUCUCAACUCAUUGAAGUUGGCCCUCUUAAAGUCUAGGGCUACUGCCUUGCUACAGGCCCUUGGGACCCCGUGCUGGAUGGUGAAUUCCAGCAAGUGAUGAUCGCUAUCGCCCAGGUGGUCAAGAACCUGGAGCCCUCUUAUCAGGACAUUGCCUGUGGUCAGAACCAGGUCCAGCAGGGCAUUCCCCCUGGUGGGACUGUACACCUCCUAAGUUAAGUGGAGGUCCUUUAUCUCGGCCAGGAACCUCUGUGAGCAGUCCAACCUGGCUGACUGCUCCUCCCAGCAGGUAUCUCAGUACCUCAGCCUUUAACUCCUCCCUCCCCUUUCCCCAAGGUAGAGAAGUAACAUUAUUCUCCUCUUUACAGAUGGGGAACUGAGGCAUGCAAAAAAGUAAAUGCCUUGCCUAAGAUCACAGAGUAACUUCCAACAGAGUGAGUCUGUGGCAGUGCUGGAUAUUGAAUGUGGGUUUCUUGAGUCCCCAGCUCACCAUGUAACCAUCACACUGUAUUUCAUCUUAGUAAGAUGCACUGCUUUGGGUCCUGCUCAGCAUUCUCAGAAAAUUUCUGCUAUCUUUCUGCUGACAGGUCAUGUAAUAUUUUCUGGCCUUGGUUAUUUGCCAUUUGUACUUAAAAGUUUAAAAAUACUCUUUCCAACUUUUAUGGAGAAGCACCAACUCCUCUUUACCAUCCCCAAGUUUCUGAAAGGAUCAGAAGCACAAUACAUACUCUUGUGGCCUGUCCUGCCAGCAUCAGCCUUGCUUGGGUUAAAAGAAGCUUCAAGUAAAUUACUGAAUAGUCACCUUCAGCCCUUGUAGCAUGAUAUGAUUAACUAACUAUUUCUCCCACACACUGAUAGCUGGAUGUCAAGCCCAGCCUGGAAUAUCUUUACACAGUAGUGACUGUAUAAAUAUCCUUGCCAUGUGAUUGCGCUGGAAAGACACCUUUCUUCACAGACAGUGUUUUCCAACCUGCCUAGUAUUUCUGUUGCCAUUCUUCUGCACAUCCUUCUGUUUGAUGUCUUGUAUACAGUGUGGCAAUUUACAGAUUACAUCAGAUGUAGCUUUACCCAUGCAAUGUAUGGAAAAAUGACUUUCCUGCUGUUAUAUGCAAUACAAUAUAAAUUACUUGUCUCUUUCUGCAGUGGAAUCACAGCCCAUGCAUGUGUUCAAACUGACUAGCACCAUAGAUCUUCUGGAGUGCUGUACUCUGACCAGUAUUCUUCCAUUUUAUAUAUACACCUGAUUCUGUCUACUGAAUUGAGUCUCUAUUGAUUUUUCCCUUUGUUUCUCUAACUUCCUUACAUUGGCAAUACCAAGAAAUACCUCCUUGUUUACUCACCUGCAAAAUCAUUAAGUGUAUUCUCUGCACCUUCCAUCAUCUCAUGUGAAGAUACAGAAGUCUAACAAACUUAAGGCCCAUGAACUGACUGUCCUUGAGCCUCACUCAGCAUCCUACUGAUAAUUACGCUAAGCCUGAAACCAUGUUCUGUCCAAGAUAGUCUGAUCUGGUACACAGAAGAGAAGUGGCACAGUUCAAAUUUUUUAUUGUCCUUAUGCUUCACCAGCAAAAGACAGUUUUGAUUGCAGAUGUUUAGAUAGCCAAAUGAUGUCAGUUGCGCUGGCCAUUAAUUACUGACAUAAAAAUCAGAGGUCAGGUUUUAUGCUUUUACCCUCUUUCUCCAUUUCUCUGUGAAUAGUACUACUGCUGUAAGACUAAGGCCCAUAAGGCUUACUUCAGGAAUCAGAAGAUCUACAGUCAUUAAGAUGCUCAAAGUUGCUAGAGAAGGGGAAAUAUAAAGAAGGGUGAUAGAUGGUAGAGAAAUUUGGAGAAGAAAAUCAUGCAAAUAUUGAGCGUGCCAGGUCUCUACAGAGGCAUAUACACAGGGAAAAAACCAUAAUUUGGUUUCAAAUCAGAGUACAGUACACAUCUGAGCUGUAAAAACAGCUAGUUCUUGUUUGAUUGAUCUUAGAAGUAGAACCCAUGUGUAUCUCAAGGUAAUAUCAAUGCACUCUGGACCCCAGCAUUUAGAUUGGAUUUUAUCAGUAGUGCUAUUAGAUAAUUGGGUUUUGUUUCAAGAGAUAACUCAUCUCCCUUCGUAACUUUAAAUCAAAUGCAAAGUAGCCAGUACACGAGCCAAAAGUCAUAUUACCCAUUGAUAAGGGGGUACCCAACUCAUAAGCAGAGGGAUCUACAAGGAAGAAAAAUCCAAAAUAAGCUGAAGCCUUUAAAAAAUCCAUUGACCUUGCUUAGAUACCCAAAACACAGGGAGCUGACAAUUUCUUGAGAUGAACUCUGAAACAUUUGAAAUAGUAUUGGUGGAUGCAUAGGUGACUGGUAGGGGAUGCACAGGGGUGCACGUGCCCCUCCGAUGGCAGACACUGAUGCUGUCGGUAGGGCUGGUGCCCCCUUGACAGGGUCGGUGGCUCCUGCAGGUGCCCCCCCCCCCCCGAUUCAGGAGGCAGCAGUCACUCAUGGGUGGAUGCAUCUACACAUGCAAUUAGGGUGAACAAAUUAAUUUCUCUUGGGUGCAGCAUUUACAUGUGUGCCCAUGACUGCAGCAUGUUGAACCAGGGUGGAGCAGCCCUGGCCUGGCAGGGAACCUGGGGGUCAGCAUUGUGCAGCAGAGGAACUGGCCGGGGCAUGAGGGUGGUAUAGUGUGGGGCUAGCCAGGAGGGAUCCCCUGCACUGUAUCACCCUCAGCCAGCCCCAGUCACCAUCUACAUGUGCAUUGUGCUGGUGUAAAUUACUUCACUAUCGGAUAGUACUUGUUCCAGUCAGUACUAGUCUAGGGUGGAGUUAAUUUACUGUGCCCUGAUAUAGGUCUACACACUGGUGACACAUGCACGUGCACCCCCUGAGCUAGGAUGGAGAUUCCACAACCUCUCGGUAACCUGUUCCAGUGCUUUAUUACCCUCCUAGUGAGAAGGUUUUUCCUAAUAUCUAACCUAAACUUCCCCUAACAGUAUUUAGAGAAACUUAGGUCUCUGAAAUGACUGUUGGGGGCAGAAGUACAAAUGUCAUAAGUUACACUUUAAACACCGAUAGAAGCCAAUAUGCAUUGGCCUUGGCCAAACCAUAUGCUUCCUCAGAGGCCUAGGAAGUUACUUUAGCACCUGGGCUAGAGUGGGAGCGGGAAGGAGAUUAUGCUGACCACUGGAGAGUGGGGAAACGGGGUGGGAGAGAAGGGAAGGGGAACAGAAUCUUAUGUCUCUCUGCACUCAGGCAGCAGCUGCUAGUGCUCUGGCUGCUGAUGUAGUAGUGUAGGCUACCACUGGGGGACAGGCUCACUGCAUGUCAGCUGCAACCGCCCUGAGGCACAGACUUCCUGGGAGCCACCUCUGGUGCCCCAUUUUCUUCUCCCCUUUCCCACUCCCCCAUACAAGAUAUGUUACUAGGUACAGGGCUGUGUUUGCAGUGGCAAGUAUUUCUCUGGAGGGAGGGCAAGUAUUUCUCUUUUCACCUGUCCUCUUAUCCCCAGAUACACUCCUGGGUAAGGGCAAUCAUUUGUCUGGUUCCUAUGGCAGGACAUGGGAGGGGGUGCCAAUAAGUUGGCACACAACAUGGCUGGUGUCCCACUCACCUCCCCAUAGGAGUGCCAGUAUUCUUUCCAUGUUUCAUGUAUACCAUGCCAAGUUAUACGCAAUAAAGCUCUUCACAUGCCCAGUACAUUUUUCACUCAUGUCUGGAUUUUGUGUUUUUAAAUUAUUUAAAAAGUUGAACUGUGUGUGUACUACCAAUGAUCCUAGACUAAAUACUGAGAGAAAAAAGAAAACAUUUAGCUUGGGCCCAGUACUGCUUUCAGUCAUGUUAUA